UCUGAGGGGAGAUGGGGCAGAGAGGCUGAACUGUGAGCUGAGCGUGGGCUCUGCCCCAGUGCCUUCAGAGGGUAGCACCUAUGGGUGCUGCAUGUGUGCUCCAUGGCUGUGUCCAGGGAGAGGCUUUAAGAGCUCUGCCAAACCUCCUUGGCUGGUGCCCCUGCUGUAGCUGUGCUGGGGUCUCCAGCUCCUGCUGGUACACCUCAGUGUGCAGGUCGAUCUCCUUGGUGUGUUGGUCCUUGAUGAUGAUCCUCUCCUCCAGCUCGCUCUGCUCCUCUGCCAUAGCUCCGCUGCCGCCAGGCUGGCACCCGUCGGAACACCGGAAUGAAGUGCAGGCGACGACUUUGCUGUGUGAGGAUUGCUACACCUUGUUUCGUGCACAGAAAUAUUUAUUACUGAAGCCAACAAAUUGGAUCAAAAUGCACAGGAGGAACAAAAGAUUCAGCCUACAUGUGAUGUGUGCCCUUGCAACCUGCCCGUGGUCUUGCAAUUGAAACAACAACGCUGGCGUGCUCCGGGCCGUGCGAGUGGAGAAUUGCCUGGAGACCUGCUCUGCGUCUCAGUCUGCUGACUUUGUUGGAUCAGGGCUGUCCUUUUGGUUUGCAGCUCAUCUUCCCCCCGCUGCUCUUCAACCUCCGCAUUUGAAGGCUGACCUUCUGGAGAUGUCCCAGUGGAAAGUUCUGCAGAAGUGCUCAGCACUAGUUUCUCGUAUCGGCUGCUGCAUGUAGCACGUUCUCAGUCCUCUGAAUGCUUCCUUGUUCAGGGGCCGGAGGUGGGCCUGGGGCUGGAGCCUCGUGCCCUUGUGUCCCCUCCAUAGCCCCUGCUGCAGUGAGGGGCUCAGCCGGGCUGGGGCACGCGGUGCUUGGUGGGGCCAGGUCUGGUGCAGGAGUCCGCAUGGUCUAAACUGCAGGUGCUGGACAUGGCUGGGGACCUGGCUGGCUUGUAGCUACUGGAGCAGUUGCUUCUUUUAUGACUUAUUUUUCUGUCUAAGUUUUAAUUUUUGCUUCAGAGCCCACGACUCUCUUCUAGACCUCUGUGAUGGAUAGCUGCUCUACAAACCAAGCUGUGCUCUAUUAAAAGGAACAUUUUAGCUGCAAGACAAGAUGGUGAAGGCUGGAAGAGCUGUCAGCUUUUUUCUUGUCUUCAAGUAUCCAAAAGCCAAAUCCCAUGACGUGCUGCACCCUGUAUCUGCCAUGACUAAGGCUACUGGCUGUCAGCAGCUCCAGCAGGGGCUGGCAGUGCCACCAGCCCGUGAGUGUGCUUUAUGCUGGAGCUUUCCAAGAGUUAACAGAGGACUAUUUGCAUUUUUAUGGGUGUUGGCUGUCUAGGGCUAUUUAUGACAGCAGAGGUAACUGAAUUAAUAUUCAUAGACUUUCCCCUGACAAUAUCAUAUAAAUUGUGAAUGGUUGUGACAGUGUGCCCUUGUUCAAACCACAGCAUGGCAGUUGCUUAGACUUAGCUGGACAAUCCUUGUGCACAAAUUUAACCUUUCUUGAAAGAGUCCUGGGACAAAUGGGAGCUUUGCCAUUGCCUUCAGCAGUGCAGGAGCAAGUUUGGUGGUCACAGGAUGAUGUAGGAAAAGCUGGGCUGGGUUCUGGUGUUGGUGCAGGGCAGAACCUCCUGCAGCCACGUAAGCCCUCAGUGCCCAUGCUGGUAGCUGAGGUGACCCAUCAGCUCCGAGCUACAGGGCAGCUGGGCUAUGGGGUUGUGUCAAUGGACAGGAGACUUCAGGGCUAUCAGAUCCAGUCCUGGACCUGAGCAGCCUUCCAGCUGUCACAGAGGCUUUGCUGAAUCCAUUUAGGCCUGAAGGACAUUAAUAUGGACUUUUGUGCCGUUUCCCAUAGAAAAGUGUGUUCAAGCAUAUGCUAACCCUCCAGCCAGCCCACCAGGGUCCCGGAGCAGCUGGGCAACCUGGAUGAGGAGAUGUCUGCCCUGACCUCGGGCUGCACCUCAGGGAGAUGUGGCGCCCUGGUGGCCUCGUCUGAGCCCAAGGAGACAAGCCUUCACUAGGCCCAAGCCUUCAGCAGGUGCUGAAGGAAAAAUGCUGAGUGAGCCACACUGAAGCUGAGUGAAAAGAUGGGCAAAAAGAGAGAGUGGAAGAAUCAACAGUCUGGAUGGAAGAAAAAGUAGAAGAGGGUCUAACAAGCUCCCAGCUGUGUGAGAAUCAAAAGGGAUUAUGUCUGUGCGUGUCAAUCCCUCAUUGGAACCAGUAUCCAUAAGUGGAAGAAAGUGAUGCUGCUUUUCUUCUUCCACACACUAUUUCUGGUGCUCUCUAAAGUCAUGUCCAAGACUCGCUGGUAUUUCAUGAAGAAAACUCAGUCUUCAGGGAAAGCAGUGCCAGAAUACCAGAAAAAUAGAUACUCUAAUAGCCAUGUGAUUGAAUAAAUGUUAUUCUUUCCCUUGUUUUUAUAAUAAGAAAAAUAAUUUUGUGAGAAAGCUUUAUCACCGCAAAGAUUGACAUCUUCCAUCAUUUAAGCCUUUCUACUUAGAUAUGGAGAGGAAAGGGAAAAGUUGCACACCCCUGAAGAAAACAAGCGAGCAAAGUGCGCCAGAGCCUCCAGAGUGCCGUGCAGCGGCCCCAGGGAGCCUGCAAAGGCCGCUUGGGCAUCAGACAGAUGGGCAAGGUAACGCCGCAGGUAACACAUUGGUAUUGUGCCCAGGUUACCUGUGCCAGAGGGAGACGCUGCUCUGCUCCCUUGCAGAGAGGGAGGGCCUGGCUCCAGCUGUCUCCUUGUAGGGGAAGGAGCGAGUCUGACAGCUGCUGUGCGUGGUCUCCUCUCGUCUGUUUGUGUGUCUUCUCCUGGGAAGGGAGAGCCUGGAGGCAAUGUUGCAGGGUAGGGGGGUGCUGAAAUGCACCUCCCUGGGUGGGCUGUGGUACCUGGUGCAGUGCCAUGGGUCCCAAGGGGCAGGCAGGUCCCUGUUCUGGCCAAGGUCAGCGCCGUGAGCCUGGAUCUCAGUGGGUAUUGAGAUUUAGCCACCGGUCCUUGCAGCAGGGGUGGAGAGCUGAGAAGUCCAGGGGUGCACGCAGUCCCAUCCGGGGAUGAGCUGCCCUUCCUGACCUACCAGCAGGAGUCUAUGGCGAGCUAAACCACGUCCCUUGGAGAUGAAAAACAGCCUGAAGCCCUGCUGUUACUGUUGGUUUGGAGCCCUUUCUUGGAAAAAGCCAAAAUUAUGCAUCCUCAGGACACAGUGGUUAUAAGCAGAAGGGUAACAUUUUCCAACGGUUCUUUCCCAGGCAAAUAUAAAUACACAUGUGAAUAUUUUGUGUGCUCAUGCCUGUUUUGUCAUGUUGUUGGCUGCAACUGCCCCUCCUCCACCUAGGCAGAGCAAUCAAAAAUGCCAUUUUGACAUUUUCAGUUAGAUUUUUUCCAAUGCUAUUCUAUGGGUACUUUGAGGACCAAUGCACAAGAAAGCUUUGUCUGCUUGUCUAUCUGUCGGGAGCAGGGCAGAAUGUAAUGAGCUUCAACACCCUGGGGAGGCGCUGGGUGUCGGGAGGACCGUGUCCCACAACAAGGACUGAGGUGGUGGCUGUCCUCCCCACCCUGGGGAGCCUCUUCUGCUUCAGGGUGGUGGGGAUUGGGCUGCCCCUCAGGCCACGGCCACCUGGCGACUUCACGAUGUUUUGGGAAGCACGGCCGUGCCCUUGGUGGGCCUUUGCCUCCUGGUUUGGUGGCACCACCACGCCGCAGUGAAAUGCACGGGUGGACUAUCUGGGGGAGCGGGGACACCUUACGCACAGAUAGUGCUUCUGAUUUCUUGCUAGACUCACAACUGUUUGUGGACCGAUGCCCAACCGGAGCUGCAUCUCGUUCCAUACAGCUGAACCUGAUCUUCUCCUGGUGCUGAGUGAGGUGAAACACAGGUACAUAACGUGCAUGGGCUUCCUCACUGUGCACUGAGACUGGCUUUCUCCGACAACAGGGACAACUCCUGUUUGGGACAAGGGAGUGAUGUCUGCUCCACCGGUGCUGCUGCCGGGCUGCAGGUACAAA